AUGGAUAUUAGGGCCAGCAAAUACGCUCAUAAGCUGUUUAGUAUUCAACAGAAUGCUUUCAUUAAAGGGAGGCAUAUUGUUGAUGGCAUCCUAUCUUUACAUGAAAUUUUACAUUAUACUCAUAUUAAAAAGCGAGUGGGGGUGAUUUUUAAACUUGAUUUCGAGAAAGCUUAUGACAAAGUCAAUUGGGACUUUUUACUCGAUUGCCAUGUGAAACGAGGGUUUAACUCUAAGUGGUGCGGGUGGGUCUCUCAAAUUCUUAGAAACGGCACGGUAAGUGUCAAGAUCAAUGAUGAGGUAGGACCAUACAUCCAAAGUGCUAAGGGGGUGAGGCAGGGUGAUCCUCACUCCCCUUUCCUAUUCAAUCUUGCUGCUGACUGCCUGACCAAAAUGGUGCUUACGGCCCCAAAAAACGAUCUUAUC
rnacentral:rRNA from 1 species